CACUACGUAGCUCAGUGGUAGCGCGUCUGGUUUCAAAUUUCGAAUCUUUCAAAAGGUUGCAGUUCGAAUCCUGUGGUAA